GUGGCAACUCCACAGUGAUCCGUGGUUCUGGAGUCCUGUCCCUGGAUUAUCACAACUUACUGAACACGUAGUUGGUCUGGGCCAGGGAGGCCCUGCUUCUUCAUAGACAAUUCCCAUACAUGGGAUAAGGAUCUCUCAACCAAAUCUAAGCAGCCUCUCCUAAACAAGGGCUGAACUUCAAAACCUUGUGAGACUAUUUAUAGGAGGCAGUAGGGAUUCUGUUCCUUCAACAAGAAAACCAAAGAUAUAAAAUAUGGCAAAGGAGCCUGACAUGCAGAAGGUGGACACAGGGAGACAGAACGAGUGUAGAUCAUUACAGGAACCACAGAGGACGAAGCUGUGAGUGAUGGCACCGUAAUGGAAAGGCGGGAGUGUGACAGCGGGGACUGAGCCACCGCUCAGAGACACCCAGGGAAACCAACCCAUCCCAUAACUCAUCAUUGAUCCCACUUCUGAUCCGACCUCGGAACACGCCUGCUUGCCUUUUAGGCUCACCACCUGUGACAUUCAUUGGAAAUUAAGCGGACAAGGUGAAAGUGUAAACCAACAAAAACAGACAUAUGGAUUGAAUAACCCUUCUGUGUUUCCUGUAUCUGUGUACACCUUCCCAUGUUAUCACCUCCUUUUAUAUCACGUCUUAUUAUAUAUAUUUCCAUAGCAUAAGAGCUCAAAACUAAGAUGAAAGCUCCACUGGCUCAGCACCAUCACAGGAGCCAAUUUCUG